rnacentral:rRNA from 1 species
AGUGAACGCUGGCGGUAGGCCUAACACAUGCAAGUCGAACGGCAGCACAGUAAGAGCUUGCUCUUACGGGUGGCGAGUGGCGGACGGGUGAGGAAUACAUCGGAAUCUACUUUUUCGUGGGGGAUAACGUAGGGAAACUUACGCUAAUACCGCAUACGACCUACGGGUGAAAGCAGGAGAUCUUCGGACCUUGCGCGAUUGAAUGAGCCGAUGUCGGAUUAGCUAGUUGGCGGGGUAAAGGCCCACCAAGGCGACGAUCCGUAGCUGGUCUGAGAGGAUGAUCAGCCACACUGGAACUGAGACACGGUCCAGACUCCUACGGGAGGCAGCAGUGGGGAAUAUUGGACAAUGGGCGCAAGCCUGAUCCAGCCAUACCGCGUGGGUGAAGAAGGCCUUCGGGUUGUAAAGCCCUUUUGUUGGGAAAGAAAAACAGCAGGUUAAUACCCCGCUGUUCUGACGGUACCCAAAGAAUAAGCACCGGCUAACUUCGUG